rnacentral:rRNA from 1 species
AUGAACGCUGGCGGCGUGCCUAAUACCUGCAAGUCGAGCGAACAGACGAGGAGCUUGCUCCUCUGACGUUAGCGGCGGACGGGUGAGUAACACGUGGAUAACCUACCUAUAAGACUGGGAUAACUUCGGGAAACCGGAGCUAAUACCGGAUAAUAUAUUGAACCGCAUGGUUCAAUAGUGAAAGACGGUUUUGCUGUCACUUAUAGAUGGAUCCGCGCCGCAUUAGCUAGUUGGUAAGGUAACGGCUUACCAAGGCAACGAUGCGUAGCCGACCUGAGAGGGUGGUCGGCCACACUGGAACUGAGACACGGUCCAGACUCCUACGGGAGGCAGCAGUAGGGAAUCUUCCGCAAUGGGCGAAAGCUUGACGGAGCAACGCCGCGUGAGUGAUGAAGGUCUUCGGAUCGUAAAACUCUGUUAUUAGGGAAGAACAAAUGUGUAAGUAACUAUGCACGUCUUGACGGUACCUAAUCAGAAAGCCACGGCUAACUACGUG